rnacentral:snRNA from 1 species
GUGCUCACUUUGGCAGCACAUAUACUAAAGUUGGAAUGAUACAGAGAAGAUUAGCAUGGCCCCUGUGCAAGGAUGACAUGCAAAUCCAUGAAGCAUUCCAUACUUUU